AGCCCCAUGGUGUCAACAUAUAAGAUUGCAAAUCUUAAGAGGCAAACUAACAUUUGCUGGGGCUU
rnacentral:tRNA from 1 species